AAAAACACUCUAGAAUCUUUACCAAACAAACUCGUUCCAGAAAAACCACAGAGAAGACCAAACAACGAUAAAAUCUUCCCCUUCAGCGAAAUCGUCGAGAAGGAGAUUGAGGCUUGCUUUGCCAGACAAAUCGUAAAGUCCUCAAUCCGGAAACAAAAGAAAAAGCUGUUGACUAUGGCGGUCGGUGGGAGCGACAAUUAGAAAUUGCUAAAUUAGAAGCUUUCACCGGUGCAUCCUCUACCCAAAAAUAGUCUUCUAGCCUCUGCAUACCUUCCUCCGUCAUUGCAUGCGCCACGGAGUUGCCCUCAAGCGUGACGAAUUGAAAACGACACGCCGAGAACCUCUUUGCCCGAGCUUUCAAAUCACAGGUAAGCGGUCGAGUUUCUGAGUAGUCUUUCUAGUUUGUAUUGAUGUUGUUGAUAACUAGUCUUGAGUCACUUUUAAAGAUAACAUAUCUGAAGCCCAUCUCCAACGCAAACUGGACACUGUGUAACAGAGCGGUUGCUUCAGCCAAAGCCACGGACCCUACGAGGUGAUGGACUAAAAAAUUUGAACCCAUGAUGUCACCCUCUUCAUUUCUGAUGAUAAAACCCGAUACUGCCUUCUGUCUUGUAGCCAGGAAAUCAGCAUCAAUGUUUACUUUUACCCAACCCGAUGAAGGGGGGUUCCAGUAGAUCAUAUCCUUAGGUCUGGGAUGUUGAAGAUUCGAUGACAGCUCUCGAUAUUCCAUACCGAAACCCUUGAUGAAGGUAACUACUUUGUCCGCACUCUGUGUUAGUUUCUCAUGUGCAACUUUGUUACGAAAGUACCAAAUAGUCCAAAUUAAUAUUGCAAUUUCUUCUCUGCUGCUACUGGCUGGAUUUUUCAGAGAGCCAAUUUAACCACUCAUUAAAACUAAAAUUUGCAACUAAAAUCGACCAUUGAUAGUUUAAUUUCAUCCACACUUGUUUAGCUAAAGAACAAUCAUGAGCUAAAUGGAUAUUAGAUUCAUUGUAAUCACGACAACGUAAACAACGAUUAUCGAUUAUAAUUUUUGGAAGGGCAAAUUCUCAAAAUUUGGAACAAAAUUUUAAACAAAUUUCCACACUAAAAUCUUGAUUUUUGCUAGACAUUGUAAGCUUCAAAUCUAUUUAUACAACUUUCACUCCAACACUUCAAUGUUUUGAGACUCAAUGAGGGUUAUGUAGCCACUCUUGAUUGAAUAAAUCCCUGAUUUUUGGUGAAACCGAAUCAACUUAUCAUGUUGAUCAUUUAGAGGAAUAGGAAUACUUACAAUUCACCGCGCUUUCUCAUCAUUAAAAAUCCAACAAAUUAAAUCAUUAUUCCACGAUUUGGACCUUGGUAAUCACAAGUCACUAACCCGAUUCAACUCUACCACUGAAGUUGUGAUGAUCCUUUUGUUUCAAUCCCCUAGUAACCAGUAGUCCUACCAAAUUAAAAUAGAAAGUCCUGAUCCAAUCCUCCAUUGAAGGCCCGAUUAUAACAGGGAUUUAGAGCACCAAAUACUGCGUCAUAUUAGAGACGGGUUUGAACCCAGUGAAGCCUGAAGAAAAUUUGAAUCCUGAUAAUACUUUGUACAAAUUAGUUUUGCUGUUAAAAAGGUAGGAUUUUCCAUCAAUCACUAUCCUUGCUUCGCUAAUAAUGCAAUGUUGAAUUUUGAUAUAUCCUUAAAGCCUAUCCCUCCAUCAUUCUUUGGCACAUAGAGAUCUUUCCACGAGCACCAAUGUAAACUAGCCUUGCUAGCUUUUUUCUGCCAUCUGAACCUAGCAAUCACUGCUUCUGAUUCCUUGUAAAAAGAACUAGGCUAUAGAAAGCAAGACAUUGCGUACAUAGGAAUAGCUUGCAAAACUGAUUUAAUUAGAACUUCCUUACCCCCGAUAGACAACAUUCGUGAACUCCAACUUAACACCCGUUUAAUCAUCUUCUCUUUCAGAUCUUUAAACGCUACCAUUUUAUUUCUACCAACAAUUAAAGGAAGGCCUAGAUAUCUUUUGGGAUUGAUGCUUGAAUUAACCCCCAAAGUUCUAAACACAUUUGUUCUAUUUUCUUGAUUUACAUUGGCGUUGAAAAACAUACCUGAUUUGUCAUAGUUUAUUACCUGGCCUAAACUGCUAGCAUAUGUGUCCAGAAUCUCCUUUAAAAGCCGAGUUCCUUCUAAUGUUACCUCUCCAAAUAUGAGACUAUCAUCCGCAAAUAGCAGGUGGGUGAUAAGCGAAGCAUACCGAUUUAUACGAACACCUUUGAGACUACCUGUAACACCCCUAACCUCUCUCUGCUGUCGGAUUAGGGUCACAAGUAUUACUAACAUGUCAUACAAUUAAUCAGUCAUAAUUACACAUAUAUAUACUAGCCAUUAACAAUAUAAUAUACAGGGGCAAGUCACAAACAAUCAGAUCAUAUCAUACUAGAAUAUUAUACAAUCGAAUAAUGAUCUAGGCUAUACAAUGCUAAACUUGGUCUUCUACUGUCUACACUCUUAUCACUAUUUAUACAUUGCUAAACCUAGUCUUCCACUGUUUACAUUCUUAUCACUAUUUAUCCCUUAUUGAAUGUCAGAAUUCAGAUACAUACAAGACUAUUCCAAUUAUUAGCAUCAGAGUAUUGAUCUGUAGUCCGUCUACGAUUAUCUUUUUAAUUUAUCUUCGAUGAUGUUAAUGGAAUGCACUUAAUUUAUGUUUGCUGAUCCACUCCAAUAUAGAAUAAAAAUUACUCUUAUAGCCCCUAUUUCGAGUCUACAGGACCUUAAAAGUAGUUUAAAAAUAGGCAUGGACUAAUUUGAAACAAUUCUAAAAGUUUAGAAAAUAAUUACAAAAAUUUUGAUUUUAGGGUCACACACCUGUGUGGCCAGGCUGUGUGACUCUCUAACUUUGGGUCACACAUCCAUGUGUGACACAUGCCCAUGUGUAUUGCUCGUGCGUGACACAAAGUACCUUAAAACUCAAGUUUACCAUUUCCUACUUACUUGGGAACUAAGAAACUCAAUUACCAAUCAUUUAACCUAUUCAAAACACGAUUAAACAUGCCCAAAAUACACCAAAUUCAUCACCUAAUAUGCCUAACAAGUGUACCCUCAUUGGUACCACAUUUUAUAUGUUUAAAUACAUUAACAACACAUCAAACAUUCAAGACUUUCUUUCAUAUCACAUUUACCUUAUUUAAACUAACUUUCAACUUCUAAAGUUACCAAAUAUGAAGUUAAACACAUACCAAGUAUUAUGCUAAACUACCAAUAUAAUAAUCCGUUUUCAAUAAAAUCAAAACAGUAGUUUCGGGAUCACAAAUCUGAGGUCAGAAGAAAAUUUAUUUUACUAUUAUUUUAUAGUCUAUGGUAUGAUAGAAAUGUCGUAUGAAAAUCCCGUUAAGAAAUUUUACCGAUUACAUGUCUAAUUUGUUAAAAAGGACUAACUUGAAAAAAGUGCAAAACUUGCUAAUUAUGAUAAUUAAGUGGCUAAAUAGGUUAAAUAAUAAAUAUGGAAGGAAUUAAGGCAUAAAUAUGCCUAAAUUAAGUGGAUGAGGUGGCAAAAUUAAUAAAAUAAAAACCAAUUAAUGGAAAAAUUGUAAAUUUUGCCAAAUUAAAAUGAAACAAAUUGAAAAUUAAAGGUUUCUAGACAUUUUUACCAACAAAUUUGACCAAGAACAGCCAUGGGAGAGAGGGUUUAAGCUGGUUCUUCAAUUUUUGCUUCAUGUGAGUCAAAUCCUUACCCGUUCUUGAAAUUUUUAUGUUUUUGAGAUUGUUACUAUUAGGUCCAAGUAACCUUUACCUUAGUUUUUGAUUUUAUUGAAAGUUUUGGAAGUUACCAUUGAUGAGUUUAUAUGAUUUUAGUUAUUAGAUGAUGAAUUUGAGAUUUUUUGGGUAUUUAAAAGUAUUUUGUUAAAGAAUUUUGAUGAAAUCGUGAUUUAGGGAUUAAAUUGAAAAGAUGUUAAAUUCAUGAAAAAUUAUGAAUUUAUGGAAUUAAUGGGAUACUAUUGAUAUAUAUAAAUUUUCUAGGCUUGUAAUAAGGAUUAAAUUUUAUGAAUUUCAUUUUUCGAGCCUAGGGACGAAAUCAUAAUUAAUUAAAAGUAUAGGGGCAAAAUGAUAAUUUUUCCAAAGAUGUGUAUUGGAUUGAAUUGAGUAUGAAUUGUAUUAAAUUUAUGUUAAAUUCAUUCAUAUAAAUCUGGAUAGACCAAAUACAGUGUUAGAUCGAGGAAAAGAAAAAGUGUCAGAUUAGUAGAUUUUGCGUACACGAACACUUGUCAAGGUAAGUUCGUAUAAUUAAAUUGUAUGUUUAAAUGUUAAAUUGAAUCAUAUGUAUGUGAUUGUGUUAUUGCUCUGUAUAUAAAAGUAAUCACAUAUCUGACGAUGACCGACAUGUAUUAAGUCCUAUUUGAAUAAAUGAAAUUUGAUGGAUACAGGGUUCCUGUAUUAGUUGUGGUCCUGCAUGUGUUGCGCACACACCACAGCUUGAAAGAGCGUCCCGUUAUUAUCUCUCAUGAGCUUCCCGUUAAGUGAUUCUUGCGAGCUUUUUAUUAAUAGCUUUGCGGAGCAUCCCGAUUGGUUGUGAUCCUGCAUGUGUUGUGUACACAUUGCAACUUUUAUGAGCCUCCCGAUAUAUGGCUCUUUGGAGCUUCCCGAUUAAAGGCUCUUUCAAGAUCUUCCCAAUUAAUUGGCUCUCUGAAGUUUCCCGAUAUUGGCUCGCUUGAACUUUCCGAUUAUGGCUCGGAUGAGCUUCCCGUUAUAUGGCUCGAAAGAGCUUCCCGUUUACAUGUUUGCAUGAGCAUUCUUGUAUAUGAAUUGACUGAUUAUAGUUAUGUACACCUUGUGUGUACUACCUGUGUAUCCAUCGACAUUUUAAAUGAUUCAAUGGGCAAAAUCCUGACAUAAGAAAAUAUAUGAAUUCGAAAUGAAUCAUUAUCCGUAUAUACACGAAAUAAAUGGAAAUUUGAUAUUUGAUGAACUCAUACAUGUUUCUUGAUAUUCAUGUGAAAUAAACAACUAACAUGUUUGAUGAAGUAUGUGUUUAGGCUAUUAUCCAAAUUUCUUUGGAUGUAUUUUGUAUGCUUACAUUAGAUGUAAAAGAAUGGUAAUUUCUUAUUAUAGGAACUUACUAAGCUUAAAAACUUACUCUAUUUUAUUUUUCCUGUUUUAUAGUAAUUCGGAGGCUCGAAUUGGUUGGAAGCUGGUCGGAGCAUCAUCACACUAUCCUUCAGCUCAUUUUGGUAUAAAUAUUAAAUUACUUUUGGUUAUAAUGGCCUGUAUAGGCUAAAUUUGGCCAAUGAUGGCAUGUAUAUAUGUAUGUGUUUGGUUAAAAACUAGCCAUUUGUAUGGCUUGUAAAUGGUAUGUUUUGAUAUGUAAAA
rnacentral:lncRNA from 1 species